rnacentral:rRNA from 1 species
CAUUAGCCGCGGGAAUACGGAGGGUGCAAGCGUUAUCCGGAUUUAUUGGGUUUAAAGGGUCCGUAGGCGGACUUAUAAGUCAGUGGUGAAAGCCUGUCGCUUAACGAUAGAACUGCCAUUGAUACUGUAAGUCUUGAGUAUAUUUGAGGUAGCUGGAAUAAGUAGUGUAGCGGUGAAAUGCAUAGAUAUUACUUAGAACACCAAUUGCGAAGGCAGGUUACCAAGAUAUAACUGACGCUGAGGGACGAAAGCGUGGGUAGCGAACAGGAUUAGAUACCCCCGUAGUCCCUGUCUCUUAUAA